CCCGGCCCCUUCAGACACCAGCUGAGCCCUGUCCCGCUGGUGUCUGUUGGCCGCAGU
rnacentral:precursor_RNA from 1 species